rnacentral:rRNA from 1 species
UACGAAGGGGGCUAGCGUUGCUCGGAAUCACUGGGCGUAAAGCGCACGUAGGCGGAUCGUUAAGUCGGGGGUGAAAUCCUGGAGCUCAACUCCAGAACUGCCUCCGAUACUGGCGAUCUUGGAGUCCGGGAGAGGUGAGUGGAACUCCGAGUGUAGAGGUGAAAUGCGUAGAGAUCGGGAAGAACACCAGUGGCGAAGGCGACGUGCUGGGUUGCACCUGACGCUGAGAUGCGAAAGCAUGGGGAGCGAACAGG